GACGAACGCUGGCGGCGUGCUUAACACAUGCAAGUCGAGCGGUAAGGCCCUUCGGGGUACGACGAGCGGCGAACGGGUGAGUAACACGUGGGUGACCUGCCCUUAGCUCUGGGAUAAGCCUGGGAAACUGGGUCUAAUACCGGAUAUGACUCCAUAACGCAUGUUGUGGGGUGGAAAGCCUUGUGCGGCUAGGGAUGGGCCCGCGGCCUAUCAGCUUGUUGGUGGGGUGAUGGCCACCAAGGCGACGACGGGUAGCCGGCCUGAGAGGGCGACCGGCCACACUGGGACUGAGACACGGCCCAGACUCCUACGGGAGGCAGCAGUGGGGAAUCUUGCGCAAUGGGCGAAAGCCUGACGCAGCGACGCCGCGUGGGGGAUGACGGCC
rnacentral:rRNA from 1 species